UACAGAGGGUGCAAGCGUUAAUCGGAAUUACUGGGCGUAAAGGGCGCGUAGGUGGUUAUGUAAGUGAGAUGUGAAAUCCCUGGGCUCAACCUGGGAACUGCAUCUUAUACUGCGUAGCUGGAGUACAUGAGAGGGUAGUGGAAUUUCCGGUGUAGCGGUGAAAUGCGUAGAUAUCGGAAGGAACACCUGUGGCGAAAGCGGCUCACUGGACCAUUACUGACGCUGAUGCACGAAAGCUAGGGGAGCAAACAGG
rnacentral:rRNA from 1 species